rnacentral:rRNA from 1 species
CUAAAAUAGGUAGUCACGAAGGUCUUCAUUAAGCUUAGGAUCAUAAAAUGAUAUAAGUCCGGUAAGGUGUGAUUUUUUGGGGCCUUUUCUCUCACCUUUUAAGUUAACACACGAACAAGUAGAAGUAUGAUCGAUCCACAAGGUAGUAAAUUAUAGACAAGAGAACAAAAGGAGGAAUUUGUGGGGAAUUGAUAGAAGGUCGGACCACUGGGAGUGGAAUCUUUUCCUGUUCAGACGAAUCCUCUUCAGACAAGAAAAUAGACAAAGGGUAUUAAACAGAAAGAUGUGGGUUCUAGAGAAGUAGGUGUUUUGUUUGUGUUGAGAGAGGGAUCCGGAUAUGUGGGGUUUUUUUAUUUGGGAUAUUAGGCUACCUUCACCGUAAUCGAUCACGACGGAAUUCGCAUUCGAAUUUUAACCGACGUAGCGGCCGGAAUUCCUUCGAGGAAAGAUUACGAAGUUGCAUGGAACCUCAGCUAUACCGCGCACUCGAGGUACUUGACCUCUGGUGAUAGAACGGCGUUAAGCUUGACAACUAACUUCGUCGUCUAUUCCCUUUGGUGUCCGAGUUCAACCUGUUUACCGAAGUCCUUGAGUUUCUUCCGAAGAUGGAUCGACUUCUGAACGACCUGCUCGUACUCAUAUUGGAGGAGUUCGCGGUUCGUUUCCCCUUCCUAAUGAACGACCGUUUAAGGAGGAGGUAGUCGUUGUGAAACUACUUCGGAGACGCACGACGUAGUUCGUCCGACAGGUUAGACUCGAGACUAUUGUCUUUCGAUUAAGUUGUAGACUUACUUGACUUCUGGUGGGACCGCUUUCGCUUCCUGAAGGCAGUUGACGAGACGCAUGGUCGACCAAUAUUACAUCGUUCGGGGUGGUUUUGUAGUCAACAACAAGGACUCUGGUGUAGUGAAGGUGGAAAUUUUCAUUAACCAGCACUAUUACUAGCGCUAACAUAUUAUUUAGAAGAAUGGUUCUGUUGAUGAUAAUGAUGACUCAGAUCACAACGAUACAUGAGCCCAAACCGGUAACAACCUCGACCUCCGUACCCUUUCAGGUGGAACCGUGUCGAACAAAUGUUACUGUUCUCCCAUUUUCUUAUAAAACUACACUGUUACACCCAUUCGUAGAGUGCGUUUUGAACU